AUUGAACGCUGGCGGCAGGCCUAACACAUGCAAGUCGAACGGUAACAGGAAGCAGCUUGCUGCUUUGCUGACGAGUGGCGGACGGGUGAGUAAUGUCUGGGAAACUGCCUGAUGGAGGGGGAUAACUACUGGAAACGGUAGCUAAUACCGCAUAACGUCGCAAGACCAAAGAGGGGGACCUUCGGGCCUCUUGCCAUCGGAUGUGCCCAGAUGGGAUUAGCUAGUAGGUGGGGUAACGGCUCACCUAGGCGACGAUCCCUAGCUGGUCUGAGAGGAUGACCAGCCACACUGGAACUGAGACACGGUCCAGACUCCUACGGGAGGCAGCAGUGGGGAAUAUUGCACAAUGGGCGCAAGCCUGAUGCAGCCAUGCCGCGUGUAUGAAUAAGGCCUUCGGGUUGUAAAGUACUUUCAGCGGGGAGGAAGGGAGUAAAGUUAAUACCUUUGCUCAUUGACGUUACCCGCAGAAGAAGCACCGGCUAACUCCGUG
rnacentral:rRNA from 1 species